UUAGAGUUUGAUCCUGGCUCAGAGCGAACGCUGGCGGCAGGCUUAACACAUGCAAGUCGAGCGGGCGUAGCAAUACGUCAGCGGCAGACGGGUGAGUAACGCGUGGGAACAUACCUUUUGGUUCGGAACAACACAGGGAAACUUGUGCUAAUACCGGAUAAGCCCUUACGGGGAAAGAUUUAUCGCCGAAAGAUUGGCCCGCGUCUGAUUAGCUAGUUGGUGAGGUAACGGCUCACCAAGGCGACGAUCAGUAGCUGGUCUGAGAGGAUGAUCAGCCACAUUGGGACUGAGACACGGCCCAAACUCCUACGGGAGGCAGCAGUGGGGAAUAUUGGACAAUGGGCGCAAGCCUGAUCCAGCCAUGCCGCGUGAGUGAUGAAGGCCCUAGGGUUGUAAAGCUCUUUUGUGCGGGAAGAUAAUGACGGUACCGCAAGAAUAAGCCCCGGCU
rnacentral:rRNA from 1 species